rnacentral:rRNA from 1 species
AACGAACGCUGGCGGCAGGCCUAACACAUGCAAGUCGAGCGAGCAUUUCGGUGCUAGCGGCGGACGGGUGAGUAACGCGUGGGAACGUGCCCUUUUCUGCGGAAUAGUCCUGGGAAACUGGGGGUAAUACCGCAUACGCCCUUUUGGGGAAAGAUUUAUCGGAGAAGGAUCGGCCCGCGUUGGAUUAGGUAGUUGGUGGGGUAAUGGCCCACCAAGCCGACGAUCCAUAGCUGGUUUGAGAGGAUGAUCAGCCACACUGGGAUUGAGACACGGCCCAGACUCCGACGGGAGGCAGCAGUGGGGAAUCUUAGACAAUGGGGGCAACCCUGAUCUAGCCAUGCCGCGUGAGUGAUGAAGGCCUUAGGGUUGUAAAGCUCUUUCAGCUGGGAAGAUAAUGACGGUACCAGCAGAAGAAGCCCCGGCUAACUCCGU